rnacentral:lncRNA from 1 species
CUUACUAUUAAGUAUGGUGAUGAUUCUGGUUUUUACAAAUGUGUUAGUCAGAUUAAAGAAAUUGCCUUCUGUUCCUAGGAUUUAGAGUGUUUUUAUUGUGAAGCAGUUUUGAAUUUUACCAGAGGCUUUUUUAAAACCUGAUUUUGUGUAUGCAUUCAUGCCCAUGUCUGUCUGUCUGUCUGUCUGUCUGUCUGUCUCUCCCUCUCCCUCUCUCUCUCUCUCUCUCUCUCUCUCUCUCUCUCUCACUUGUAUAUGUGUGUGCAUGUGUUUUCUUUUUUAUUGAUAUGGCUUAUUGCAUUGAUUGAUUUUUCAGUUAUUUUAUUUAUUUGUUAUUUUAUGUGAAUGAAUAUUUUGCAUGCAUGUAUGUCUGUGCACCACCUGUGUUACUGGUCCCUGAGGAGGCCAAAAGAAGUAGUCAGGUCCCUCACACUAGAAUUGCAGAAGGCUGUGAACCGCCAUCCUGAGCUUAGGGUUUAAAUGAGGUCUUCUGGAAAAGCAGCUGAACCACCUCUCCAGCCCUUGAUUUUUAGGUUUGUUUUUAAUUAUUAUUUAUUUUUAUUGGCUAUUUUAUUUAUUUUAAUUUCAAAUGUUAUCCCCCUUCCAAGUUUCCCCUCUAAAAACCUCCCUCCACACCCGCCCUACCUCUUUGAGGGUGCUCCCACACCUACCCACCCACUCCUACCUCAGUGCCCCAGCAUUUCCCCACCCUAGAUUCAGCUCUUAAACUAGCUUUGCAUUCCUCUAAUAAAUUCCAUUUCAACAUGCCUUAAUUAUCUUCAUGUGUUGAUGAAUUUGUUUUGUUAAUUUUUUGGUGGUAAUUUUUCUAUGUUGCAUAUAGGUUAAAUUGUUCUAUCGUUUCUUUUUCUUAAUGACUUUUUUUUUGGUUUGACUCUGAUAGCACAGUGAUAUUAGCUUCAUAAAAUGUGUUGAUGUAUCCCCAUUUCUAAUAUUUGGAGCAGCUUCUGAGCAUUUUUCAAUUUUUCUUUAAACAUUUUUGAAAUAUAACGAUCAAAGAUAUUUGGUCCAGGAUUUUCUUUGUUGAUAGUUUUAUUAUUAUUAUUAUUAUUAUUAUUAUUAUUAUAGAUUCAGGCUCUUUCCUAAUGCUUUAUUACCUAUUUUUUCCUGAUUUAGUUUCAGUGGAAACUAGCUUAUUUCAAUAUUUUUAUAGUAUUUAUUAAGCCUUCUCAUCUUUCAUCUGGUUCUUUCUAUAAUGUGUCAUUUUCUCCAUCUUCAUUUAAAUCUUUCUAUAGCUUCAAACCUCAAAUGCUUCUUAUUGGUAUUAUGACUGAUUAUUUUUAUGGACUUAUCUAACUUGCUGAACUAUGUGUAGAGUAGCAUAAGGAUCCAGUUACUGUAUUUAUUUCCCGUACCUUUUGUGUGUAUGUAGGUGUUUGUCUGAACGUGUGGUCUUUGUACCACCUUGUGCAGUGUUUACAGUCACCUAUGUAUGGUUAAGGUUCUCGGGGACUAGAGUUACAGAUAGUUGUGAGCCACUGCAUGGCUGCUAGAAACCAACUUCGCUCCUCUGGAGGAGCAGCCACUGAUUCAGGCCCUAACCAGUAUUUCUGUUUUGUUGUUUUAUUGCCACUUAAAAGUUUGCCCCACUUGUGAUCUUACAUUUUUCAAUUUAAAAAAUUACAGCACAGAUAGCUUUCAAUUUAUAAUCAGUUUGAAAGUGUUUCAAAUAUUAUUUCAUAAAACAUUUUAUGAUACUGGGUAUCACAAUCUUACCCAAAUUAAACAAAAUAUGUCUUUAGGAAAAGAAGAAAUUACAGGCCAAUUUAUCCUAAAAAAAAAAAAAAAAAAGAACAGAACACUUUUUAAUAAAAUACUAACAAAACCAAAAUCAUCACUAUAUGUAAUUAAUUAAUGGCAUGCAGAAGUUUUUUUCAAAGGAAUGGAAGGUUAGACCUGAAAGCUGGUAAAAAGAAUGCAUUGCAUUCUAAAUUUUACUCAUCGAUAUUGAAUAAAAUUCUUACAUUUUGUUAUGUUUCUAUGAAGAAAAAUCUCUUAAAAAUAGAACGAUAACACUAAAGCUAUUUAAAUGCAAUGUUAGGGUUUUGUUAAUGUAGAGAAAACAAUUUUCAUUUUCAAAUGUUUGGGUUAUAUGAUAAUGUGUAGAGUUCUUUAGUGAUGACAUGAUUUUUUUUUUUCUUGAGCUACAAAAAGUCCCAAAGUAGAAAUUAAGUUUAAAUUUUUCUAAAUCCUUAAUUAAUUAAAAAAAAAGUUUCAUGCUGAGUGUGGUGGCCAAAGGCAGGUGAAUCUCUGUGCGUGUAGGGCAGCCUGGUAUUCAUUGCAAGUACCAGGCCAUCCAGUGCUACAUAGUGAGCCCCUGUCAACCAAUGAAGCAGAGACAAAGAAACAAACC